AGAUCCAAUAGUGUAUAUUAAAGUUGUUGCAGUUAAAAAGCUCGUAGUUGGAUUUCUGGUGGGAGGGAUUGGUCCUGAAUUCUUUGUAGGAACUUGUACCCUCCCCGGUCAUCCUUGGGUGGAUCUUGUCUGGCAUUAAGUUGUCACUCAGGGGAUGUCCAUUGUUUACUGUAAAAAAUUAUAGUGUUUAAAGCAGGCGUAUGCCAUUGAAUAUAUUAGUAUGGAAUAAUAAGAUACCUAGUACUAUUUUGUUGGUUUGCGUACCGAGGCAAUUAUUAAUAGGGACAGUUGGGGGUAUUUGUAUUCAGUAUUCAGUGGUGAAAUACUUAGACCUACGGAAUAUAAACUACUGAAAAAGCAUUUACCAAGGAUGUUUUCA
rnacentral:rRNA from 1 species